AUGUCAGGUUUCCACAUAUGUUUAACAGAACUAUAUUGCUAUCUUUGCAAAUCAUUGAGCUGCUUUUACCAUACCAACAUGCACCUUUCUGUGAACUUUUUUGUAGGUCUUCCUGUUGAUAUUCCACCUAGACCAAUCUCAAGACAAAAUAUUGCUUGUUUGUAGCAAAAUAAAUAAAUAAAUAAAAAAGACCAGAGAUUUUUUUCUUUGACAGGACAAAGCAAAAAAGAUCAAAAACAAUUCAAGGUCUGUUUGAUUAAAUGCGCGUAUACAUGGUAAUUUCCAUGCAGUAAGUUUAUAAUUUUAGAUAAUUAUGAUGGUAAAAAUUUUUUUCUCUAUUUUCAGGUAUGCAACAGGUGAACACAAAUUGUCUUCAGCCCUGGUUACCUUGUUGAUGUGCUUAAAAACAAUUAAAAAAGAAAAAUCACAUUUGAUUAAUGUUGAAGAAAAAAAUGACAUUUGCUGCAGGUUCAGCAAAAAUCUAUCUGGUCAAGAUUUGUAUCAAAAGAGGUCAAGGUCAGCUGAUAUUGUUACUGAGUUGGAUGAAUAAAAACAAAUCUGUAUUGAUUUGGCACACAAAGGUGUCAGUGGUUCCUGCUGUUUCCACUUCUGUUAAAGGAGUCUGAGAUCUCUUUAUGUCAUCAGUCAGGAACCAGAUACACCCAACCCUGUGCUGUUUAUAAAGGGACAUGCCUUGGAUGCGGAGUCUCUUUAAGAAAUAAUGAAGGAAGUGGAGGAAGUCUGUGAAGUAGACGAUGAACACACCUCUACACUUCAACUUCAACAGUGAAUAUGCUUCAAAGUUGAGAGACACCCUGACAUUUACUGAAAACUGUUUAAUGUAUCAUAAUGCCAAAACCAAUAUGCCACCCACAAUGGCUAAUUAUUGUCAUUUGUUUUAUUAAAUUAAUGUGUAUGUAUAUAAAUGCAUGAUAUUUAUUGUUGUUUAUGUAUGUCUUGGUUAGAUUGAUUGUAAUAUUUA